GCAGCACGUGGGGCGGCGCUCUAUGGUGGCCGAGGGACAGCGGCUGCUCUCUGAGCCCUAAAUCCAGAAGCGCCCGGGAAGCUGCAGCGACAGUGGUUUCUGUAGUCGCAGCCCCAGAGGGCACCCGGAAGCCGGCACUAUGGUGAAGGAGUGGUUCUGGGAGACAGAUGUAGCUAAGAAAAUGUAAGACGCGGCCAUUGGAGGAGGCUGAGGUCCCGGGUCCCAGAGGGUUCCAGGAGAACUUGAAUCCCUUAGUUGUUCUGAAUUUGUUUAAGUGCAUCCCCGAUGAAGAUGUCCUUUUACUUCUGAUGAACCCAGAACUGGAAAGCCCUCUGAUUUGAUUCUCACCCGACUUUUGGUGCCUCCCUUGUGUAUCAGACCCUCUGUCAUGAGUGAUUUGAAGUCUGGAACCAAUGAAGAUGACCCGACAAUGAAACUAACAGAGAUCCUUUUCCUAAAUGAUGUUAUUAAAAAGCACCGGAUCUCAGGAGCCAAGAUGCAGAUGAUCAUGGAGGACUGGGAUUUCCUGCAGCUGCAAUGUGCCCUCUACAUCAACAGUGAGCUCUCUGGCAUCCCCCUCAACAUGGCCCCCAAGAAGUGGACUCGAGGCUUUGUCCAGUGCCUGAAGGGGAAGCAGGGU